ensembl:lncRNA
CUUCAACCUGAAAACUCACAGGGAAGGUCAGCUGAAACAACCGAGUCUGGGCACUCUCCCCUUAGAACUGUCAAUCACACUGCCGCCACCAAGGACAGGAGGUGGUGAGCCGAGGAACUCGGCCUCUCCUGACCUGGUUUACCCCAAGUGUGUGUGAGAGUUGUGGGGGCACAAGCUGGAAAGGGCAGGACUUUUCGUUUCACACCUGCUUGGGUUUUCCUUAUGAAACGUUUCCAUCAUUGACGCUGAGGUGUUUCCUUAAACCGCGACUCCACCUGAUGUAAACAGGCUGCCAAUACAGGCCCGAGUGAAUGUUAAUAACCACUUAGGGGCACUAUAUAUGGGCCAAGUACUGCACUGAGCCCUUGACUUUCAUUUUUCCACGUGAUCCUCCAAGUAAAACCCCAUGAGCUAGGUGCCAUUAUCAUCAGCAUUUAAUAGAGGAGGAAACUAAGCUAGAAACUUAGCACAACUGGGAUGUAAACCCAGCAGAGGACUCUGAGCUCUAGAGGACAGUGGAGCCACAAGAUGGAAAAAAGCCUGGUUCCCUGAAUAACCACGUGAAGGGAAGCUGCUCACUAACCAGGGCAGAGUGAGCUCAAGAAGUCUGGCUCAUCGUGCAUGUCGUGACACUGCU